GACGAACGCUGGCGGCGUGCUUAACACAUGCAAGUCGAACGGAAAGGCCCUGCUUUUGUGGGGUGCUCGAGUGGCGAACGGGUGAGUAACACGUGAGUAACCUGCCCUUGACUUUGGGAUAACUUCAGGAAACUGGGGCUAAUACCGGAUAGGAGCUCCUGCUGCAUGGUGGGGGUUGGAAAGUUUCGGCGGUUGGGGAUGGACUCGCGGCUUAUCAGCUUGUUGGUGGGGUAGUGGCUUACCAGGGCUUUGACGGGUAGCCGGCCUGAGAGGGUGACCGGCCACAUUGGGACUGAGAUACGGCCCAGACUCCUACGGGAGGCAGCAGUGGGGAAUAUUGCACAAUGGGCGGAAGCCUGAUGCAGCAACGCCGCGUGCGGGAUGACGGCCUUCGGGUUGCAAACCGCUUUCGCCUGUGACGAAGCGUGAGUGACGGUAAUGGGUAAAGAAGCACCGGCUAACUACGUG
rnacentral:rRNA from 1 species